rnacentral:rRNA from 1 species
UACGUAGGCAGCAAGCGUUGUUCGGAAUUACUGGGCGUAAAGAGUGUGUAGGCGGUGCUCUAAGUUUGGUGUGAAAUCUCCCGGCUCAACUGGGAGGGUGCGCCGAAAACUGGAAUGCUUGAACGUGGGAGAGGAAAGCGGAAUUCCUGGUGUAGCGGUGAAACGCGUAGAUAUCAGGAGGAACACCUGCGGUGUAGACGGCUUUCUGGACCAUUGUUGACGCUGAGACACGAAAGCGUGGGUAGCAAACAGG